rnacentral:rRNA from 1 species
ACGCUCGACACCUACGGUAGGCAGCAGUCGGGAAUAUUGCGCAAUGGAGGAAACUCUGACGCAGUGACGCCGCGUGCAGGAAGAAGGUUUUCGGAUUGUAAACUGCUUUAGACAGGGAAGAAAAAAGACAGUACCUGUAGAAUAAGCUCCGGCUAACUACGUGCCAGCAGCCGCGGUAAUCUGAGCGGGCUGGCAAGGC